GUGCCAGCAGCCGCGGUAAUACAUAGGGGGCAAGCGUUAUCCGGAAUUAUUGGGCGUAAAGGGUGCGUAGGUGGCUAUUUAAGUCUUUGGUGUAAGUGCAGUGCUCAACACUGUGAUGCUAAAGAAACUGAAUGACUUGAGUAUAGGAGAGGUAAGCGGAAUUCCUAGUGUAGCGGUGAAAUGCGUAGAUAUUAGGAGGAACACCGGUGGCGAAGGCGGCUACCUGGACCGAUACUGACGCUGAGACGCG
rnacentral:rRNA from 1 species